rnacentral:rRNA from 1 species
CUGGGACUGAGAUACGGCCCAGACUCCUACGGGAGGCAGCAGUGGGGAAUAUUGCACAAUGGGCGCAAGCCUGAUGCAGCGACGCCGCGUGGGGGAUGACGGCCUUCGGGUUGUAAACCUCUUUCACCAUCGGCGAAGCCUUCAGCUUUUGUUGGGGGUGACGGUAGGUGGAGAAGAAGCACCGGCCAACUACGUGCCAGCAGCCGCGGUAAUACGUAGGGUGCGAGCGUUGUCCGGAAUUACUGGGCGUAAAGAGCUCGUAGGUGGUUUGUCGCGUUGUUCGUGAAAUUCCCUGGCUUAACUGGGGGCGUGCGGGCGAUACGGGCAGACUGGAGUACUGCAGGGGAGACUGGAAUUCCUGGUGUAGCGGUGGAAUGCGCAGAUAUCAGGAGGAACACCGGUGGCGAAGGCGGGUCUCUGGGCAGUAACUGACGCUGAGGAGCGAAAGCGUGGGGAGCGAACAGGAUUAGAUACCCUGGUAGUCCACGCCGUAAACGGUGGGUACUAGGUGUGGGUUUCCUUCCUUGGGAUCCGUGCCGUAGCUAACGCAUUAAGUACCCCGCCUGGGGAGUACGGCCGCAAGGCUAAAACUCAAAGGAAUGACGG